rnacentral:rRNA from 1 species
UACAGAGGGUGCAAGCGUUAAUCGGAAUUACUGGGCGUAAAGCGCGUGUAGGCGGUUUCUUAAGUCUGAUGUGAAAGCCCUGGGCUCAACCCAGGAAGUGCAUUGGAUACUGGGAGACUUGAAUACGGGAGAGGGUAGUGGAAUUCCUAGUGUAGGAGUGAAAUCCGUAGAUAUUAGGAGGAACACCGGUGGCGAAGGCGGCUACCUGGACCGAUAUUGACGCUGAGACGCGAAAGCGUGGGGAGCAAACAGG